rnacentral:lncRNA from 1 species
UGAUUAUAUGUGCAUACUUAGUAAAUGGAACUUAAAGAGAUAGGCCUCAGGGUGAGCAACCCAAGGUGAGUUCACACAGCCAAGGCAUGGGGUUCCCAGGGUGGGAAUGGGAUUGGAUGAUUAUAUGUGCAUACUUAGUAAAUGGAACUUAAAGAGAUAGGCCUCAGGGUGAGGUUGGUAAAUGAUGAGAUACAGCUAGACUAGUAUACCUACUUGAACUGAUCUUCGCACACACGCCAGGGGUUGGCUGCGAUAUUAUGACUGAUCUUCGCACACAUGCCUUGGAAAGGCCGCGAACUAUAUACUAAAACUUCGCACACAUGCCAGGGUGGCUGCGAUACAAAUAUACAUAGUCUAGAAUACUUGAGAACUUUCCCUAAUCUUCGCAUACAUGCCGAAAGGGCCCGCGAUACGAACCAAUGCUAUACAUGAACAAUGAACGAACUAGUACGAUGCAUGAUUAGAUAAACGAACGCAAUGCUUGCUAUACUACUC